GGAGGGUUUUACAUCAUAAAUGACGGGGGUUGAAACAUCUGAAAGAAGGUGCCGCUGCAGGGAGACAAAGAGGAAUGGAGAAGAGAUACUGACUGGCUGAAGGGCGAGAAUCCAAAAAAACACACACGCUUCACAAACAGAAAUGUGGAAGAAAAGGCUGCUGACACCGAGAAGAUAAAAUGGCACCCAAAAAAGCCCCAGCAGCAGACAAGAACAAAGAUGCCAAGGGGAAGUCUGAUGAUGCCAAGCCUGCAGAUGACAAAGGAGAAAAAAAAACACUGUUUCAAAAAAUAAAGGAUUUUUGGGCAAGUCCAAUGGGUAUAUAUGUGGCUAUAGUAUUCACCAUCAUCCUUGUUGUCAUGGCAAUAGGAAGUGCCCUUGUGUGUCUGAAUGAGGCGAGCAGAACAGCUGACCUACGAUAUGCAAUGGAGCUUGUUAAGAAAUUUAUGAUGACAAAAGAUCCAAGCUAUGAAACUAGGG